GAACUGAAGAGUUUGAUCAUGGCUCAGAUUGAACGCUGGCGGCAGGCCUAACACAUGCAAGUCGAGCGGAUGAAGGGAGCUUGCUCCCUGAUUUAGCGGCGGACGGGUGAGUAAUGCCUAGGAAUCUGCCUGGUAGUGGGGGAUAACGUUCCGAAAGGAACGCUAAUACCGCG
rnacentral:rRNA from 1 species